GAUGAAGAACGUAGCGAAAUGCGAUAAGUAAUGUGAAUUGCAGAAUUCAGUGAAUCAUCGAAUCUUUGAACGCACAUUGCGCCCGCCAGUAUUCUGGCGGGCAUGCCUGUUCGAGCGUCAUUUCAACCAUCAAGCCCCCGGCUUGUGUUUGGGACCUGCGGCUGCCGCAGGCCCUGAAACGCAGUGGCGGGCUCGCUGUCACACCGAGCGUAGUAGCAUACAUCUCGCUCUGGGCGUGCUGCGGGUUCCGGCCGUUAAACCACCUUCAUAACCCAAGGUUGACCUCGGAUCAGGUAGGAAGACCCGCUGAACUUAAGCAUAUCAAUAAGCGGAGGA
rnacentral:misc_RNA from 1 species